CCCUCACACAGGUGUGGAGGUCUCCAGGGGGAGUGAAUGGGAGGGGAAGCUGGUGUUCCUUCUUGAAAUACCAACUUUUUCUUUUUUGAGGAUGAUUAGCCCUGAGCUAACAUCUGCCACCAAUCCUCCUCUUUGUUGCUGAGGAAGACUGGUCCUGAGCUAACAUCCGUGCCCAUCCUCCUCCACUUUAUAUGUGGGACGCCUGCCACAGCAUGGCUUGAUGAGCAGUGUGUAUGUAGGUCUGCACCUGGGAUCCGAACCCGUGAACCCCAGACCGCCUAGGUGGGGUGUGCAAACUUAACCGCUGUGCCACCGGGCAGGCCCUGAAAUAUCAACUUUUGAGGAAAAAAGGAUUGUUUUAAGCAAAUAUGACUUUUAUGAAAUAGGAUGUGAAAUUUAGAUUGAUUUGAAAAAGUCACAAGAAAUUUUCUGCUUGUGGUGGCUUCUUUGGAUUUCACUGUCUGUGUGGGUCAGCCUUGAUCCUGCUUGUUUCUGCACCUAUGGUAAGAAAGUUCCAGAAGCCAGAAUUCGUGGUAUGUAAUUUAGCACCUCCCCCAGUGCUGGGAAAUGCCAAUUCACGUGCCCUGCUCUCGUUCUUGGGAGGGCUUAAAACCCCACUAUGAAACAUGUGUGAGGUGUGUGGGGGGGGAGUGGUUCUUCGUUGUGGCAAAUGACUUGGAUGAUACUGUUGGAGGAGGUCAUCGAGAGGCCGUGACCGCCAGUUGACCUUGAGUUGGACGGGCCAAUCAGAGGCUCUUUGCCUCCAACCCCGUCCUUGGCAUGUGCAUUUCGCUCACCUUCCCUGAGCUGGAAGCUGCCCCAAGGACACAGCCUGGAGAGAGUAAGGCGUUGCUGAGACCAUCUGGACUGUGUGCCGGGACUGAACCCAGGGACGGCUUCUAUAUAAACUUGAAGAUUCUGGCGGGCAGGUGCAGAGAGCUACUCAGCUUGCGGCUGUCCAGGACAAGCCUCAUAUCAUUGUGAUGAUCCGAGAGCAGGGACAUCACCAAAGGCAGAAACGAAUGAACUCGAACCCCAGCAACACUGCAGAGAAGGUUCUGGCUUUUUCCUUAUCACUGUGUUAAUACGCUUCUCAAGAAGAAAGACAAAAUUCCACUGACCCAUGACUCUGGGGCUGAUUACCUGACAGAGGAUGAAAUGACCUUUUUCUUAAAAGAAAAAUAAGGGAGCAGCUGCAGGCUGCAGGCCUGCCUUCUGCUGUCUCUGACAGCACUGUGCACCCAGGAGGGGGCUUUGGAGCGACGUUGAGUUGACAUUGACUGAUUGCGUGCUAGGUGCCAUGUAAUAGGUUUAUGUGUAACAUAUCAUUUAAUUCUCACACCCUUCCAGAUGAUAUGUAUUAUAUAGAUUUGCAUUGUGUAUUUGAGGGAACUCAGAGCUAUUAAGUAACUUCCCUAAAGCCAACAGCUAGUGGGUGAUGGCUAAGAUUUGAGCCAGCUUCCUCCAACUCCACA
rnacentral:lncRNA from 1 species